UGCCAGCACCCCGAGUGGUCGGGACGUUUAUUGGGCCUAAAGCAUCCGUAGCCGGUUCUACAAGUCUUCCGUUAAAUCCACCUGCUCAACAGAUGGGCUGCGGAAGAUACUAUGGAGCUAGGAGGCGGGAGAGGCAAGCGGUACUCGAUGGGUAGGGGUAAAAUCCGUUGAUCCAUUGAAGACCACCAGUGGCGAAGGCGGCUUGCCAGAACGCGCUCGACGGUGAGGGAUGAAAGCUGGGGGAGCAAACCGG
rnacentral:rRNA from 1 species